AUGCUACCCACCUGGAAGGCGCAUCUCAUGAACAAAGUCGGCCGCCUCGCGUUCGUCAAGGCCAUCCUCAGCGCAAUCCCGAUUCACCAGCUACUUGCUCUUGCGCCCCCCAAGAAGACCAUCCGGGCACUCGAGAAAAUUCAGCGAGGCUUCUUGUGGGCUGGACGCGCGGAGGCAAACGGAGGCCACUGCCAUGUCAACUGGCAACGCGUCGCUAGGCCGCUCCCGCUCGGUGGCCUCGGCGUGCGCGACCUUGGCCGUACCAGCCUCGCGCUCCGCACCCGCUGGUUGUGGUUCAGCCGCACGGACAGCACCAGAGCAUGGGCCGGCCUCGACCUGCAGUUCACCGCCGAGGAGCGUGCCUUCUUCUUCGCAUCUACCACCAUGCAACUCGGGAACGGCACGGAGGCUCUAUUCUGGGAAGAUCGAUGGAUUGGCGGGCGUUCUGUUUGCGAGAUUGCGCCGCUCCUCUACGCCUGCAUUCCCAAG
rnacentral:rRNA from 1 species